rnacentral:rRNA from 1 species
GACGAACGCUGGCGGCGUGCUUAACACAUGCAAGUCGAGCGGAAAGGCCCUGCUUUUGUGGGGUGCUCGAGUGGCGAACGGGUGAGUAACACGUGAGUAACCUGCCCUUGACUUUGGGAUAACUUCAGGAAACUGGGGCUAAUACCGGAUAGGAGCUCCUGCUGCAUGGUGGGGGUUGGAAAGUUUCGGCGGUUGGGGAUGGACUCGCGGCUUAUCAGCUUGUUGGUGGGGUAGUGGCUUACCAAGGCUUUGACGGGUAGCCGGCCUGAGAGGGUGACCGGCCACAUUGGGACUGAGAUGCGGCCCAGACUCCUACGGGAGGCAGCAGUGGGGAAUAUUGCACAAUGGGCGGAAGCCUGAUGCAGCAACGCCGCGUGCGGGAUGACGGCCUUCGGGUUGUAAACCGCUUUCGCCUGUGACGAAGCGUGAGUGACGGUAAUGGGUAAAGAAGCACCGGCUAACUACGUG